CACACCCAUGCUGAUCGCAGCGGCUGCGCUCUCCCGGGAGAAGAGAGAGGCAGAGGAAAAAAAGAAGGGCGACAACCUGGCGUGUACCCGAUUCUCUCUCCCGGUCCUAGCAGCGGCUCUGGGCUCAUCGCUGGACAGGACCAAGCAAAGCAGACCGCUGAGCAGGCGCACCGGCGGCGUCAAUGAAGCGACACUUACAGAACCUGCACCGGUGUGAAUGAUGAAGGGAGGACGCGAGGUUUUUUUUUGAAGAAGAAGAAAGAAACGUGCGCCUUACUCACCUCACAAUCUUCUCCCCAUUUUUUUUCUUCUCCAAUCAACGAGCCGCCGGAGCCGCCAGUGACGUCACGAAGCCCCUCUCUGCAGCAGAGAGCGGUAAGGCCUGCAGAGGAGGACCAGACUCGAGGCGCAGCACAUGAACCUCGCUUCAUAUCAAUCUCUUCCUCCUUUACAAGACACCACACUGU